GAUGAACGCUAGCGGCAGGCUUAACACAUGCAAGUCGAGGGGUAUAGUUCUUCGGAAUUAGAGACCGGCGCACGGGUGCGUAACGCGUAUGCAAUCUACCUUUCACAGAGGGAUAGCCCAGAGAAAUUUGGAUUAAUACCUCAUAGUAUAGCAGUUUCGCAUGAAACCACUAUUAAAGUCACAACGGUGAAAGAUGAGCAUGCGUCCCAUUAGCUAGUUGGUAAGGUAACGGCUUACCAUGGCUACGAUGGGUAGGGGUCCUGAGAGGGAGAUCCCCCCACACUGGUACUGAGACACGGACCAGACUCCUACGGGAGGCAGCAGUGAGGAAUAUUGGCAAUGGACGCAAGUCUGAACCAGCCAUGCCGCGUGCAGGAUGACGGUCCUAUGGAUUGAAACUGCUUUUGUACGG
rnacentral:rRNA from 1 species